GGAGGGUCAUUGGAAACUGGGGAACUUGAGUGCAGACUUGGAGAGUGGAAUUCCACGUGUAGCGGUGAAAUGCGUAGAGAUGUGGAGGAACACCAGUGGCGAAGGCGACUCUCUGGUCUGUAACUGACGCUGAGGAGCGAAAGCGUGGGGAGCGAACAGGAUUAGAUACCCUGGUAGUCCACGCCGUAAACGAUGAGUGCUAAGUGUUAGGGGGUUUCCGCCCCUUAGUGCUGCAGCUAACGCAUUAAGCACUCCGCCUGGGGAGUACGGUCGCAAGACUGAAACUCAAAGGAAUUGACGGGGGCCCGCACAAGCGGUGGAGCAUGUGGUUUAAUUCGAAGCAACGCGAAGAACCUUACCAGGUCUUGACAUCCUCUGACAAUCCUAGAGAUAGGACGUCCCCUUCGGGGGCAGAGUGACAGGUGGUGCAUGGUUGUCGUCAGCUCGUGUCGUGAGAUGUUGGGUUAAGUCCCGCAACGAGCGCAACCCUUGAUCUUAGUUGCCAGCAUUCAGUUGGGCACUCUAAGGUGACUGCCGGUGACAAACCGGAGGAAGGUGGGGAUGACGUCAAAUCAUCAUGCCCCUUAUGACCUGGGCUACACACGUGCUACAAUGG
rnacentral:rRNA from 1 species